rnacentral:rRNA from 1 species
GACGAACGCUGGCGGCGUGCCUAAUACAUGCAAGUAGAACGCACAGUUUAUACCGUAGCUUGCUACACCAUAGACUGUGAGUUGCGAACGGGUGAGUAACGCGUAGGUAACCUGCCUGGUAGCGGGGGAUAACUAUUGGAAACGAUAGCUAAUACCGCAUAAUAUUAAUUAUUGCAUGAUAAUUAAUUGAAAGGUGCAAUUGCACCACUACCAGAUGGACCUGCGUUGUAUUAGCUAGUAGGUGAGGUAACGGCUCACCUAGGCGACGAUACAUAGCCGACCUGAGAGGGUGAUCGGCCACACUGGGACUGAGACACAGCCCAGACUCCUACGGGAGGCAGCAGUAGGGAAUCUUCGGCAAUGGACGAAAGUCUGACCGAGCAACGCCGCGUGAGUGAAGAAGGUUUUCGGAUCGUAAAGCUCUGUUGUAAGAGAAGAACGGGUGUGAGAGUGGAAAGUUCACACUGUGACGGUAUCUUACCAGAAAGGGACGGCUAACUACGUG